GACGAACGCUGGCGGCGUGCCUAACACAUGCAAGUCGAACGGAAAGGUCCUGCUUUUGUUGGGUGCUCGAGUGACGAACGGGUGAGUAACACGUGAGUACCCUGCCAUUCACUUUGGGAUAACUUCAGGACACUGGGGCUCAUACCGGAUAGGAGCACCUGCUGCUUGGUGGGGGUUGGAAAGUUUCGGCGGUUGGGGAUGGACUCGCGGCUUAUCAGCUUGUUGGUGGGGUAGUGGCUUACCAAGGCUUUGACGAGUCGCCGGGCUGAGAGGGGGACUGGGCACAGUGGGACAGAGCUACGGCCCGGACCAAUACGGGAGGCACGGGAGGGGGAGAGAGCAUAAUGGGCGGAAGCCGGGUGCAGGAGCGCCGCGUGCGGGAUGUCGGCCUUCGGUGUGUAAUCCGCUUGCGACUGGGAGGAAGCGUGAGUGACGGUAAUGGGUAAAGAAGCCCCGGCUAACUACGUG
rnacentral:rRNA from 1 species